rnacentral:rRNA from 1 species
CUGGAUGGCUUGAGAGAGGUAGAGGCAAGUGGAAUUCCAUGUGUAGCGGUAAAAUGCGUAAAUAUAUGGAGGAACACCAGUGGCGAAGGCGGCUUGCUGGGCCUCGUCUGACGCUGAGGCACGAAAGCGUGGGGAGCAAACAGGAUUAGAUACCCUGGUAGUCCACGCCGUAAACGAUGAGUACUAAGUGUCGGGAUAACCCGGUGCUGCAGUUAACGCAUUAAGUACUCCGCCUGAGUAGUACGUGCGCAAGCAUAAAACUCAAAGGAAUUGGCGGGACCUCGCACAAGCGGUGGAUCAUGUUGUUUAAUUCGACGAUACGCGAAGAACCUUACCAGGCCUUGACAUACCGAGCAAUGCUAUGGAGACAUAGUGGAGGUUAUCUGGGAUACAGGUGGUGCAUGGUUGUCGUCAGCUCGUGUCGUGAGAUGUUGGGUUAAGUCCCGCAACGAGCGCAACUCUUAUCGCUAAUUGCCAUCAUUAAGUUGGGGACUUUAGCGAGACUGCCAGUGACAAACUGGAGGGAGGUGAGAAUGACGUCAAAUCAUCAUGCCCCUUAUGGCCUGGGCUACAAACGUGAUACAAUGGUUGGUACAAAGGGAGGCAAAGCCGUGAGGCCAAGCGAACCCCAUAAAACCAAUCUCAGUUCGGAUUGAAGUCUGCAACUCGACUUCAUGAAGUCGGAAUCGCUAGUAAUCGUAGAUCAGAACGCUACGGUGAAUACGUUCUCGAGGUUUGCACACACCGCCCGUCAAACCACGAAAGUUAGUAAUACCCAAAACCGGUGGCCUAACCAUUUAUGGAGGGAGCCGUCUAAGGUAGGGCUAAUGAUUGGGGUUAAGUCGUAACAAGGUAACCGUA